UGGGGAAUUUUGCACAAUGGGGGAAACCCUGAUGCAGCGACGCCGCGUGAUUUAGAAGGCCUUCGGGUUGUAAAAAUCUUUUCUAUGGGAAGAAAAUGACAGUACCAUAGGAAUAAGGACCGGCUAAUUACGUGCCAGCAGCCGCGGUAAUACGUAAGGUCCGAGCGUUUGCCGGAAUCAUUGGGCGUAAAGGGUACGUAGGCGGGUAAGCAAGUUAGAAGUGAAAUCCUAUAGCUCAACUAUAGUAAGCUUUUAAAACUGCUCAUCUUGAGGUAUGGAAGGGAAAGUGGAAUUCCUAGUGUAGCGGUGAAAUGCGCAGAUAUUAGGAGGAGUACCGCUGGCGAGAGCGACUUUCUGGCCAUAACCUGACGCUGAGGUACGAAAGCGUGGGUAGCAAACAGG
rnacentral:rRNA from 1 species